GAAAAUAAAAAAAUACACCCUUCGUCUUGUCAAAAGAUCGACCCUCAUAACCUCACUGUUGGUUGUCUCCCAACUUUCUUCCUCCCCCAAGAUUUCCUCGGCUUCCACCGCUGCCCCAAUCUCGCUCCCGCUGCUCCACUAUAGCCCCGUCCAUUGCAGCCUCCCUCCAUCGCAACUCGUGCUCCAACUUGAAUACGUACCCAACGGCCUCGUGUUCCAAGUUAAAGGGACAACGAUUGCCACCCCCAAAGACAGCAGUUGCCACCUCCUUGCCUCCAUCCUCGCUUGGUGGCUUUCACCUUAAAGUUAGGGUUGGGCUUGUCGAGAAUCCAAAUAAUUGCGGGCGAAAGAGAUGCAGAAAUCCAAAGCAAUGCCAGUUAUAAUUGGAGACUUGGUGUUUUAUAUACAAACUACUGUUGCGUGCUAUUCUUGCUACUGCCCAAACCACCACUCCUGGCAAAGUGGCAAGGAGAAUAGGUGGUCUAAAGGGAACCACCUUCUUCAUUUGUUAGAUCUUAAAUCACCCCUGCUAAUCAACCUCACUAGCAAAUUUCAGUCUCUAUGAGCCAGUUUGAUACGACGAUUUCAUUAAUGAAGACAAAGAUACUCAUAAAUCUUCAAGCAAUUAGUAGAAGAUAGAGAGAAACUUGAUUCCAUUAGUUUUAUUUCUUUGGAGCUGUUGUGCAGUUUUUUUUUUUUUUUUAUUGUAUAUAGUAAUAGUGUAAUGGAGUACUACUAAGUUUUGAUUUAUUUGGUUUUUUCUUGUAUUUGACUUCACCUUUAUCAAUUAAAGAUUGAAUUUAGUUUUAUUGAUAAUGAAUAUAGCUUGUGGUGAACAGGUGAAGUACUUUGUAUCAUUUUGUGAUUUUUUAAUAAUCUAUUAAUGAAUAAAGUGUUACAUUA